rnacentral:lncRNA from 1 species
AUGAGAGAUUCAGGUACCUGAAUAUAUGAAUGAAAAGUUCUAUAUGUUAUGUCUUUAUGAAAAUUUAUUGGAACUGAUAUAACAUGUUUGUCGCUGACAUGACAUCUAUCAUAGCGCUAAGUGUAGAUGAGGAUGUUUAGUCUAUCGAAUAUAGACACAAAAGUAUUAGCCAAAUGGAAGAGAUACAAUUCAAGAAGAAUUGAUUCCAUAUGAAAGACAUGUAGUU